rnacentral:rRNA from 1 species
GCGAACCUGGAUUAGCCCUUAAGCACUCGGUGAAGUAGGUGAACAAGCUGGAAAGCUUGGCGAUACAGGGUGAUAGCCCCGUAACCGACGCUUCAUCGAGCGUGAAAUCGAGUAGGGCGGGACACGUGAUAUCCUGUCUGAAUAUGGGGGGACCAUCCUCCAAGGCUAAAUACUCCUGACUGACCGAUAGUGAACCAGUACCGUGAGGGAAAGGCGAAAAGAACCCCUGUGAGGGGAGUGAAAUAGAACCUGAAACCGUGUACGUACAAGCAGUAGGAGCACCUUCGUGGUGUGACUGCGUACCUUUUGUAUAAUGGGUCAGCGACUUAUAUUCAGUGGCAAGGUUAACCGUAUAGGGGAGCCGUAGCGAAAGCGAGUCUUAACUGGGCGCUCAGUCUCUGGAUAUAGACCCGAAACCGGGUGAUCUAGCCAUGGGCAGGUUGAAGGUUGAGUAACAUCAACUGGAGGACCGAACCGACUAAUGUUGAAAAAUUAGCGGAUGACUUGUGGCUAGGGGUGAAAGGCCAAUCAAACUCGGAGAUAGCUGGUUCUCCCCGAAAGCUAUUUAGGUAGCGCCUCGGACGAAUACUACUGGGGGUAGAGCACUGUUAAGGCUAGGGGGUCAUCCCGACUUACCAACCCUUUGCAAACUCCGAAUACCAGUAAGUACUAUCCGGGAGACACACGGCGGGUGCUAACGUCCGUCGUGGAGAGGGAAACAACCCAGACCGCCAGCUAAGGUCCCAAAGUAUUGCUAAGUGGGAAACGAUGUGGGAAGGCUCAGACAGCUAGGAUGUUGGCUUAGAAGCAGCCAUCAUUUAAAGAAAGCGUAAUAGCUCACUAGUCGAGUCGGCCUGCGCGGAAGAUGUAACGGGGCUAAGCA